AGAGCCAGAAGAUCAUCUCUGUACCUUGUCUCCUUCUCAAAAACAUCCAACUCUAUCCCAGAGUUAUCCAAACCAAGCAAGGCGUUGAAGUGAAUAGGAGAGAAAGCUAGAUUCAUACCACAGAUAUUUGACCUAAUCUGUUUUCCAGUAAACUCCAAUAAACCCAUUUCUUUCCUAGAUUUACCUUUUAAACUAGGAUCUCUUUCAAUAGCCGCAAGUUCUUCCUGCUUAGCUUCAGCCUUAUCAAAAACCUUAGCUUUCAUCCAGAAUUUCUUCAAGAGAUCUGGGUAAAUAGGACCAUUAAGCAUGUUGAAGUACUUAUCCCAACCUUGAGUGGAGAAGUACUGUUUCACAUCGAACCCAUUUGCCUUCAAGCUAUCAAAAUCUA
rnacentral:lncRNA from 1 species